UGUAUCUGAAGUCUGACGAGGAUGAGAACCUCCGGGGGCAAGAGGUUCGACCCGAGCGAAGCGAGAAAACGUUGCGUCAGCAACGGCCCGCAGGGCGAGCCAUCCUCUAUCACCGGCAG
rnacentral:sRNA from 2 species